rnacentral:sRNA from 12 species
CCGCCCCCGGCGAAAAGGUUGCCACGUGAGGUGACCUUCUCAAGCAAGACUUGAGAUAGCCGAGGGUGUUUUA